rnacentral:rRNA from 1 species
UAGGGCGGGACACGUGGUAUCCUGUCUGAAUAUGGGGGGACCAUCCUCCAAGGCUAAAUACUCCUGACUGACCGAUAGUGAACCAGUACCGUGAGGGAAAGGCGAAAAGAACCCCGGCGAGGGGAGUGAAAAAGAACCUGAAACCGUGUACGUACAAGCAGUGGGAGCCUCUUUUAUGGGGUGACUGCGUACCUUUUGUAUAAUGGGUCAGCGACUUAUAUUCUGUAGCAAGGUUAACCGAAUAGGGGAGCCGAAGGGAAACCGAGUCUUAACUGGGCGUUAAGUUGCAGGGUAUAGACCCGAAACCCGGUGAUCUAGCCAUGGGCAGGUUGAAGGUUGGGUAACACUAACUGGAGGACCGAACCGACUAAUGUUGAAAAAUUAGCGGAUGACUUGUGGCUGGGGGUGAAAGGCCAAUCAAACCGGGAGAUAGCUGGUUCUCCCCGAAAGCUAUUUAGGUAGCGCCUCGUGAAUUCAUCUCCGGGGGUAGAGCACUGUUUCGGCAAGGGGGUCAUCCCGACUUACCAACCCGAUGCAAACUGCGAAUACCGGAGAAUGUUAUCACGGGAGACACACGGCGGGUGCUAACGUCCGUCGUGAAGAGGGAAACAACCCAGACCGCCAGCUAAGGUCCCAAAGUCAUGGUUAAGUGGGAAACGAUGUGGGAAGGCCCAGACAGCCAGGAUGUUGGCUUAGAAGCAGCCAUCAUUUAAAGAAAGCGUAAUAGCUCACUGGUCGAGUCGGCCUGCGCGGAAGAUGUAACGGGGCUAAACCAUGCACCGAAGCUGCGGCAGCGACGCUUAUGCGUUGUUGGGUA